AUUGAACGCUGGCGGCAUGCCUUACACAUGCAAGUCGAACGGCAGCACGGGGCAACCUGGUGGCGAGUGGCGAACGGGUGAGUAAUGUAUCGGAACGUGCCAUUGAGUGGGGGAUAACGUAGCGAAAGUUACGCUAAUACCGCAUAUACCCUGAGGGGGAAAGCAGGGGAUCGCAAGACCUUGUGCUCUUUGAGCGGCCGAUAUCAGAUUAGCUAGUUGGUGAGGUAAAGGCUCACCAAGGCGACCAUCUGUAGCGGGUCUGAGAGGAUGAUCCGCCACACUGGGACUGAGACCCGGCCCAGACUCCUACGGGAGGCAGCAGUGGGGAAUUUUGGACAAUGGGCGCAAGCCUGAUCCAGCCAUGCCGCGUGAGUGAAGAAGGCCUUCGGGUUGUAAAGCUCUUUCGGCCGGGAAGAAAUCGUACAGGUUAAUACCCUGUGUGGAUGACGGUACCGGAAUAAGAAGCACCGGCUAACUACGUGCCAGCCGCCGCCGUAA
rnacentral:rRNA from 1 species